UACAGAGGCCUCGAGCGUUAAUCGGAAUCACUGGGCUUAAAGCGUACGUAGGCGGGCGCGCAGGCAUCUUGUGAAAUCCCAUGGCUCAAACAUGGAAUGGCUUGGUGAACCGCGCGUCUUGAGUCAGGUAGGGGCCGCCGGAACGAUAGGUGGAGCGGUGAAAUGGGUUGAUAUCUAUCGGAACGCCAAAGGUGAAGACAGGCGGCUGUGCCUGCACUGAAGCUGAGGUACGAAAGCGUGGGGAGCAAACGGG
rnacentral:rRNA from 1 species